ACUCAAAGGAAUUGACGGGGGCCCGCACAAGCAGCGGAGCGUGUGGUUUAAUUCGAUGCGACGCGAAGAACCUUACCUGGGUUUGACAUGGGCCUGAAAGAACUGGAAACAGUUCCCCCUUCGGGCAGGUUCACAGAUGUUGCAUGGCUGUCGUCAGCUCGUGUCGUGAGAUGUUGGGUUAAGUCCCGCAACGAGCGCAACCCUCGUGGCUAGUUGCCUUAUCUAGCCAGACUGCCUACUAAAUAGGAGGAAGGUGGGGAUGACGUCAAGUCCGCAUGGCUCUUACAUCCAGGGCUACACACACGCUACAAUGGCCGGUACAAAGCGCGGCAAGCAGGCGACUGCAAGCGAAUCGCAAAAACCGGUCUCAGUUCGGAUUGCAGGCUGCAACCCGCCUGCAUGAAGUCGGAGUUGCUAGUAACCGCGCGACAGCACAGUGCGGUGAAUAUGUUCCCGGGCCUUGCACACACCGCCCGU
rnacentral:rRNA from 1 species